rnacentral:rRNA from 1 species
CUGCUGCCUCCCGUAGGAGUCUGGGCCGUGUCUCAGUCCCAAUGUGGCCGGCCAACCUCUCAGUCCGGCUACUGAUCGUCGCCUUGGUGGGCCGUUGCCCCACCAACUAGCUAAUCAGACGCGAGUCCAUCCCAGAGCGAUAAAUCUUUGGCAGUCAGAGCCAUGCGACCCAACUGCAUUAUGCGGUAUUAGCAGCUGUUCCAGCUGUUAUUCCCACUCCAGGCAGGUUACUCACG